CCUACGGGGGGCAGCAGUGAGGAAUAUUGGUCAAUGGGCGCAAGCCUGAACCAGCCAAGUCGCGUGAGGGAUGACGGUCCUAUGGAUUGUAAACCUCUUUUGUCGGGGAGCAAGGCCCGCCACGUGUGGCGGGAAGGAGAGUACCCGAAGAAAAAGCAUCGGCUAACUCCGUGCCAGCAGCCGCGGUAAUACGGAGGAUGCGAGCGUUAUCCGGAUUUAUUGGGUUUAAAGGGUGCGUAGGCGGAAGGUUAAGUCAGCGGUCAAAUGUCGGUGCUCAACACCGGCCUGCCGUUGAAACUGGUCUU
rnacentral:rRNA from 1 species